ensembl:rRNA 5S_rRNA 5S ribosomal RNA
ACUCAAAGCCAUACACACUGAACAUGCGCAAUCUCCUCUGAUCUUGGAAGCUAAGCCGGGUCAGGCCUAGUUAGUACUAGAAUGGGAGUCUGCUUGGGAAUACUGUGUGCUGUAGGCU